AGCAAUACAUCGCUGAUACGGGGGUAAAGCCGAAACCUCUAGAAGGUUAACACAGGGUCUUCAUCCCCUACCCCCACCCAAUACGUCCCCGUCGUACAGAUUGGUUACAUGUCUCUCAAUAAUCCAAACUUACGGGUUGCUUGAGUAUACGAGAAACCCAACUCCUUGGGAGGAUGGGUUGCAUGGCUAAAUUGAGAGGA
rnacentral:ribozyme from 1 species